rnacentral:sRNA from 1 species
CCUCCGCGUCGCCACCUCCAGGGACUGUCCCCACGAGAGAACGGCGCGCUCCCGGGGUAAGUUUAUAACAGGAAAGCGUUCCUGAACUCCUUCGCAGUGGCAGCCGUUUCCGCAUCCGAAAGACAGUUUACGCUUUUGGAAGGAGGCAGCAAACGCGAUUGAAGCGGGUUUGAGCCCAGCAAAUGCCCAAAGAGGCUCCACAUAAGCCCUUCUCCAAACAUAUGUUCACACCGCACUUCGAGGCUAUGGAACUGGGAUCGCCAGCGCCACCGUCAAAAGUCCAAGUCUUGGGGCCAACGUAAAAGGCGGGAUUUCUGAGGUGUGUAUCUAGAAUAUGCUCAGCCAUCUUUCGAGGAGGGGGUAACACUCAGGACCCAAGGUCAACUAACUAACGAAAGCUGGAUGCAGAUAUGGCUCCUUGGCCAGGCGCUGAAGCCCACCUCGGGCUUCGAAGCUGAGGAUCACACUGGGGUACGCAGGCGUUGGCUGGAGGGAGGGGCGGGGGUCAGUCUUGUUCUCCGCGGGAGGAUUCUCAGUUCCGUGGAAGCGGCUCAGCUCUGAGAUCCCCACCUCUGGGCCCAGUACGAGUUGGUGAUAAGAUUCGGACUGUUUUCAGACUGAAAACCUUUGUUUGGGUCCUUAACGAACGCAAGCCUGGCGGCAAGUCCACGGCUCUCCUGAACCUAGAGGUUUGCUCCGUGAGCGUGACUCUCUGGCGCGCGUGGGAAGCAGCAUGGGCGUGGGUCUCAGGCCCGCUCCGAAGCCCCCUCCACUAGUUCUUUCUACACGGGAUCCGGUGGCCUGGGACCGCCGAGACUGCGGUAGAGUGGCCAUAGAGGGUGGGGAUCUUCCU